GAUGAACGCUAGCGACAGGCCUAACACAUGCAAGUCGAGGGGCAGCACAUGAGUAGCAAUACGAUGGUGGCGACCGGCGCACGGGUGAGUAACACGUAUGCAACCUGCCUUCUACUAUGGGAUAACCCGUUGAAAGACGGACUAAUACCGUAUAAUACAGGGGCUCCGCAUGGAGAUAUUUGUUAAAGAUUUAUUGGUAGAAGAUGGGCAUGCGUAUGAUUAGAUAGUUGGUGAGGUAACGGCUCACCAAGUCAACGAUCAUUAGGGGUUCUGCGAGGAAGGGCCCCAACACUGGUACUGAGACCCGGACCAGAAUCCUACGGGAGGCAGCAGUGAGGAAUAUUGGUCAAUGGACGAGAGUCUGAACCAGCCAAGUCGCGUGAAGGAAGACGGUUCUAUGAAUUGUAAACUUCUUUUGUGCAGGAAUAAAGUGGGUUACGUGUAACCUUUUGUAUGUACUGUACGAAUAAGGAUCGGCUAACUCCGUGCCAGCAGCCGCGGUAAUAC
rnacentral:rRNA from 1 species